rnacentral:lncRNA from 10 species
CCUUGGGCUCCGGGCACUUCCGUCCGCGAGUGGGCACAGCCUAGGGAGGAAAACCAUCCAAAGAUGUAUACAGAGAAAGUAAUCGCCAUUCCCACCCCAACUCCCAGGUUCACACUACUCAUCUAGAGUAAAAGUCCUCAUGAAUUCACUGCAAGACAAGAACACAGGAAAGCAACUACCACACAGAAGAGAUGUGGACCCCAAAACGUUGGUCUCUUACAUCCAACCAGGUGUAAUUGGCAAGUAACACAGAGCCAAGCACUACACCUGAGACAUCCUCAUCACAGUCACAAAGACUGAAUCUAAAACUUUGUCAGUACCCUGUGACUUAUGGAUGACUGUAUUUGCUAUACAACAGUGUGCUGGUAUAGAUAUAGGGGUGGUGUGGGUGGGCGUGGGCACUAAGUUGCUAAGUAGUCUGCGCUUACUGUCCCUAAUUGUUCCUGCUAAAUUCAGGCAUCCUUAAGGUCCUCUGAGAGAAGAAAACCCUCAAAUCUUAUUGAAGAGAGGCUCUUAUUUCAUAUUCUCCUUCUCUUCUUGCAUCUUUUCCCCCAUGCUUUCUUCUCUUACUAUCUUCUGUAAAAAAAUUUUCUCUCUACUUCUAUUCCUGGUCUUCCUUGCUUUGACUCUUCCUCCUCAUAUUCAUGCCAAACUGUUUUUAUUUAAUUUAUGCCUAUAAUCCCAGUACUUUGGGAGGCCGAAGUGGGUGGAUCACUUGAGUCCAGGAGUUCGAGACCAGCCUGGGCAACAUGGUGAAAUCCCAUCUCUACAAAAAAUACAAAAAUUAGCUGAGUGUGGUGGCACAUGCCUGUAGUCCCAGCUAAAUAUUAAUAUUUAAUAUUAAAUAAAUUAAAUAUUUCUGUAUUUAUUUAACACAAAUGAUGGGUUGCUUCUAACUGGAGUAGCAGGUGAGAGUUUGGACAAAGGGAAAUGAUCUGCAGUAACAAGGCAGAGACAUCUGAAAGUCUAGGGAAUAUAUUGAAAAAUGUGAUGAAAAAAAUUCAUUGAUUUACCAAUACAUAUCAUGAUGGCUGAGAUGAGAGGAAGUUGAGAAGCGUAUAGCUCUUCCCAAAGGAAAUAUAUACAAAAUAUCCCAAAGGAUAUGCAGCAGACUCAUCCUUUUAAUAAUUUCCAAGUAAAUAGUCAAAAACCCUGCUUAGGAAAAACUCAGAAAAUAUUGCUUCCACUGGCUUCAGAUGGCCUGCUGAAUUCCUAUGACUCUGUAGACUUCCACUAAAUCCAAAAUUGAGGAAAUUUAAGGGACACUGCAUUAAUAGUAUAAUCACCCCAUGCUUUCUGAUACAUGCCAAGGUUCUUCUUAGCUGAAAGUAAUUUGACCUGGCUAUUUGCUAAAUGGUUCAAGUCUGAAUGCUGGAAGAUUUAACUAACUGCCUUGUGAGAACUACCUAAAGCUGAUGCCAUGUGGGUAGGCUUGUCCUGUAAGAAUUGUUGAACCAGCCUGCUUACUGCUGAAACCUCCUUUGCAAAAAUUAUAAAUGAGGAAAUUAUGGCAGUGAAAGAGAUCAGACCUAAUCCACUCCAUCCUGCUUCUAACCUUUAAGCCAUCUUUGUUCAUUCCUAGCUGUAGGCUGAACUAGCCUUGGGAAGGAAUUCAGUUCAUGGUUUGACUCUGAAACAAAAUUGAUAAUAGCGCUUUCCCCAAAAGACCUCCUUCUUGCCUGGGGACCAGUCUGCCUUUGUAGGACUAACAAAUUAGCUACAAGAUUAGAAAUUAUGGUUUAGGGGUCAUGCAGCCUCUGGCUAUAAGAGUGGGAACCUCCCCUAUUGCUUCUAGGGAUAACAUCACUAUUGCGAAACCUGAAAUUAGUGCUUGAGAUAUUUUGUAGACCCUGCACUUGAUGGAUCAGCUGAUACCACCUAGACUGGCAAUCUGGCUCAACCAGUUCUGUGAUCCCAUCCAGGAACAGAGCACAGCAAGAAAACCUCACUUGAUCCCCUGUGAUUCCAUCUCCAACCUGACCAAUCAGCACUCCCCACUUCCUGAGCCACUACCUGUCAAAUUAUCUUUAAAAACUCUGACCUCCCCCUUCCAUGCUCAGAGAGACUGAUUUGAGUAAUAAUAAAACUCUGGUCUCCAGCACAGCUGAGUCUGUGUGAAUUACUCUUUAUUGCAAUUCCCUUGCCUUGAUAAAUCGACUCUGUCUAGGCAGUGGGCAAGGUGAACCCACUGGGCGAUUAUACUACUACCCACUUUUUUGCUGCUGAGCUCAGCUGUCUGGUUGGGCUUCUAUCCAGUGCCUCCUCUAUUCCAACAGAUGUAUCCGUCUUACAUAAUAGGACUAUUCUCAACUCAGACCAUCCUACCUCUACCAAUGAGUUGUGAAGGCAGAACACGUGACCAAAAGAAAAAAAACAGAAGCAGAAGAAGAAAGUUUAAAUAACCCCUACACAAUCUGAUUUUGGAUUUCAACUAAGAAAAUAGCAUUUUAUCUGAUAAAAUGAUAUAUGAUUUCAAAAAUCCUACUGAAGCUAAUUUCUCUAAUUCAACUAAUUUGAGAAUGCUUGUCAGAACCUUCUUAGAGUGGUGCCAACAACAUUUCUAUACUCACUUGUAUAUGAGAAAGUUUAGGCAGAAAUCAGAAUUUUGAUUUGCUAAAAUGUAAUCUUUGAUGGUUAAAAAAAUUCAUUGUUUUUUUUUACAUAAACAUUAACAUGAAGCCAGACUUUGGAGGACUAGAUUAUGAAUAAGGUGGCUUUUUAAACUUAUUGUUUAAAUCUCACACUUUUGAGAAUGAAAAAAGCAAAUUAAUAAUCAUGCCAGGGCAAUGGGAAAAAACUGAGGCUGUUGCAGUCAAGUCAGGAAGUUCAGUCACUCUAAUUAUCAGCCACAUUUUGUGAGAACGUAUUCAGAAUUUCCCGUGUGGUAGGAGAAGGGAUGCUGGAGAAAUUUUCUCCCUGCAUCUGCUUUCUCACUUCCCUUCCUCAUUUCCCUAGAGUUCCCUAAUGUCUCCUCCAACAUCCUCAGCUACUUUUUCUCAUCUUUAUUCACUAGAAUGUGAACUGAAUUUGACAUAAAAAUGAAGCAUCAAAACUAGUUUCACAGCCAGGCACUGUGGCUCAUGCCUGUAAUCCCAGCACUUUGGGAUGUAGAGAGGGGCAGAUCACCUGACGUCAGGAAUUCAAGACCAGCCUGACCAACAUGGCGAAACCCUGUCUCUACUAAAAAUACAAAAAUUAGCCAGGCAUGGUGGCCCGUGCUUGUAGUCCCAGCUACUCGGGAGGCUGAGGCCUGAAUCUGGGAGGCGGAGGUUGCAGUGAGCCGAGAUCACGUCACUGCACUCCAGCCUGGGGAACAGAGCGAAACUCUGUCUCAAAAAAAAAAAAAAAGAAAAGAAAAGAAAAGAAAAAAAAAACAUCUAGUUUCACAUAUACUUGAACUUCAGUGGCUGACUAUCCUUUGCAGCAAAACAGGUGUAAUUUUUAGGAAACUCAAGAGUGGCUACCAGUGUGGCUGCAGAUGGUACAGCAUUAAUGUAAAAGAUACAUCUGUAUAUCCUAUUUUUCUUUAGAGAAGAAAUUUCAUACCCCCUUUCUGGCAUGUAAAAAAGCAACAGUAUUAGAAGGUUAAUUAGAAGUUGAAUGAAGUUUCAUGCAGACUAGCUUGUCGAUCAACAAACUUGACCUGAUUCUAUCUUAUCUAUGUGGCACUCACGUGGAUUCUCAUAUCUCCCCCAAGCAAAAGGAGAACAAUCUGCCUUAUUCACAGCAUUUGUGCUGAAUGCCUGAGAUGCACAUGCCAUGCAUGUCACAAGGCAAUCAUGUCUUCACAAAGUUAGAGAAAGAGGUAAACCUAUGAUGGCUGGCCCAGUGACCCCUAGGGACUUCAAGAAAUCCCAAAGGAAAUGCAGCAGACUCACUCUUUGAAUAAGAUGUCACCCUUUGAAGAAAAUGUCAGCAACAGAAAAGUCAGAGGUAGAGCAACGAUGGGAAGAAGAUGUGCUUUCAAAAAACUUUUGAAAAGUGGCUUUUAAAUAAAGUGGGAAAAAGCAUGUCUUUACUUACAACUUAGACAAAUACCAGCUCUCAAGCUUCUAUGUGAACAGGGUCUGUUAAUGAAGUUGUCUUCAAUGUGUCUCCAGAUGUGUCUCAGGCACAUGAGAAUCAUCGUCAGAAGAAAGAGGGAGCCACCCUUUUGACAGACGUUGCAACGUAAUAAUAAUGACAGAAUUAUAAAUAAGUAAGUUAUGAUAAAGAAUAGCCAAUACUUACCUGGAACUUACUAUGAAUCAGGGACUGUCUUGAGUACUUUUUCUGUAUUAUUUCAAGAAAACCUGGGCUUAGAGUCAUGCAGGCCUAAGUCUGAGUCCUGGUUCUGUUACUUUUUAGCUGUGUGGUCAUGAGGAAGGAGUUUCUUAAACUUCUUUAAUAUUAAGUUUCUCCAAAUAUAAAAUACUCUUAGGGUUGUUGUGGAAACAGAUUAGAUCAGGUAUGCACAAGCACCAAUAGGGUCCGUUUCCUCUUGUGUUGGACAUUGCAAGCCUUCAGAUGAUAAAACUUGGGUGUUUGGGGAACAUUGUCUGAAGGUCAUUGAGUAGUUAACCAUUCUAAUAUCACAUGGUAUGGAACAUUCACAUUAGUGCCCAUUAACUUUGAGAAGAUUGUGUGCCUCUUUCUGCUCAUUUUUAUGACCUAUUUUCUACAAACAUUGAGAAGUGUGGGAGGAAAGAGCCCGAUAGGAUUCAUCAAAACCAAAGAAGAUAUAACAAGAAUGGCAAAGACGGUAUCAUGAAAGUGAUGGAAUUAAUUUGCAUUUCCCUUCAGGGUGCGAGAUUUCAGAUUUUUUCCCCAGAAGGGUAUUCAUGGAAAGGUACUACGUGUCUGCACUACCUCAUCAGAAAUGUUUAUUUCUCUUUUUUUGAGACGGAGUCUCACUCUGUCAUCCAGGCUGGAGUACAGUGGCGCCAUCUCAGCUCACUGCAACCUCCACCUCCCACAUUCAAGGGAUUCUCCUGCCUCAGCCUCCAGAGUAGCUAGGAUUACAGGCACCCACCAUCACGCCUGACUAAUUUUUGUAGUUUUAGUAGAGACGGAGUUUCACCAUGUGGGCCAGGUUGGUCUUGAACUCCUGGCCUCAAGUGGUCUGCUUGUCUUGGCCUCCCAAAGUGCUGGAUUUACAGGCAUGAGCCACCACACCGAGCCAGAAAUGUUUAUUUCUUGUGAACUGGUGCUCAUUAAAAUAGAGUGCCCCCAGCCAGGUGUGGUGUCUCAGGCCUGUAAUCCCAACACUUUGGGAGGCUGAGGUGGGCGGAUCACUUGAGGCCAGGAGUGCAAGACCAGCCUGGCCCACAUGGCGAAACUUCGUCUAUACUAAAACUUCAGAAAUUUCCCGAGUGUGACAGGCGUGCCUGUAAUCCCAGCUACUUGAAAGGCUGAGGUAGGAGAAUCACUUGAACCUAGGAGCGGAGAUUACAGUGGGUCAAGAUGGUGCCACUGCACUCCAUCCUGGGCAACAGAGAGAGACUGUCUCCAAAUAAAUAAAUAAAUGCAUAAAUAAAAAUAAACUACCCCUUACAUAAUUUCCUCUUGUCAAAAACUUCAGAUACACAAUAUUUGCAGCUCCACCCAUUGUGAAUAAAGAGAGUAGAUAGUUUAUGUUGCUAAUUGUUAGUACUAAAAGACUUGCUAAUUAAAUAGUCAACAACCACAAAACUGCUUUGGGAAUGAGGCUGGUCCUUGUAAUUAACCUCAUUUUGUAAGUGAAGGAAGGAACAUGAGCACAGAAAAAGACUAUGGGACCUAGCCAAAGCCACAGCUAGUAAAGGACAAGGAUAAAAACUAGAAUUGAUGAAUCCUGAAUCCUAAAUUACAAUGCCUUGUUCAUCAGCUUUUGUCAACCUUCAGCAAUUUUAGGUGCUUUCCUGUGGUUGUACUUGUGGGAUUCAAAACUGGAUUUUGUUAUUGUUGUUCCUUGGCAAAAUAAAUAAACAAAAGCAAAUUGUAUUUAAAAAUAAACACACUUUUAUACAUAAACAUGCACACACAUGUAAAAAUCUAUUGAGAAAAUUACUUCUUAAAUAGUGGCCUACUAAUAAUUACUUUUAGGAUCAGUGUACAAAGUACAAAGGAUCAGUGCCUCUGGGUUGCGGGGAGGGCUUGCAGGCUUAGACGCUGUAUGAAGGGGUGCUAGAACACUGUAAAUGUAAAGUGGUUUACUUCCAUGCUCUGUGAUGCUAUUCCUGGCUCUUUCAAUUCAGCCAGCCCAAUCAUGUUAAAGCCAGCCACUAGUACCAGCUAUUUUUUUUUUUAGACAAAGUCUCGCUCUGUUGCCCAGGUGGGAGUGCAGUGGCGCAAUCUCAGCUCACUGCAACCUCUGCCUCCCAGGUUCAAGCAAUUCUCGUGCCUCAGCCUCCCAAGUAGCUGGGAUUACAGGCAUGCACCACCACACCCAGCUAAUUUUUGUAUUUUUAGUAAGGACGGGUUUCACCACGUUGGCCAGGCUGGUCUUGUCAAUUCCCAACCUCAAGUGAUCCACCCGCCUUGGCCUCCCAAAGUGUUGAGAUUAUAGGUGGGAGUGAGCCAUCGCCCUGGACAAGUACCAGUUCUUAAUGCUGGUAUUUGCCUAGGAUCUUGACAUUUGCCUGUGAUCCCCUUCCCCCCUGCAUAAAGAUCCUGUAAUUUGAGCUCAGUUCCUUGAGCUCUUUGAUACUCUCAGACUAUACUAUGAUUAUAAGAAACUACUUAAGUCCCUUCUCUGGCUGACUGGUCUCAUAUUCCCACUAAUAAUAAAUAACAUAGUUUGUAUUCAUGAUCUGGGUUACACCCAAGCUAGCAGCUAUAUAAUACUUUUGUAACCAUAAUAGGUUCAUUGCCAAUGUACACAGCAAGUCAAUACACUGAGACAAUAGGUUGUGUGUUGCAGAGAAAGAGGUUUAAUCAUAGCGCCACUGAACGAGGAGAUGGAAGUAAACUAAUAUGUCUCCCCGAGAAGUUUGGGGCUAGAGUUUUUUUUAAGGCUUUUGGAGUGGGCCAAAGAGUGGAGAUUGAUUGGUUGAAGAGUGCAGGGUGAAGUCAUGGGACAAGGAGAUGAAGAAGCUGUAUUCUUUUGCUGAUCCCGUUCUUCUGUGGGGUUCUUCAAACUGGUUUCUAGAAUUCGGGGUCUGAGAAAGAUCAUAAGUAAUCCUUAAACAAAAGCCUUAUUAUCCUAAUGUCGGAGAUCCUAUCUGUAGGAACAAUGGAGAUGCCAAUGAGUCUUGAACAGUCUUAUGACCCUAAUGUCAGAGACCCUAUCUAUAGGAACAAUGGGGAUACAGAUGGUCAGCAUCUAGUGCUGCAUGACUUUUACCAACAAGGAAGUGGACCAAAGUGCAGCCUGAUUAAUGCUUAAUUAUAACUAUAUUUCUGUCCUGAACCUGGCAUGCAAUUCUUGUCAACCCUGUGGGAGUGGCUUCAUUUUGAGACAUAGAGAGCUUUUUUCCUGUUGUGCUUUCUGGAUCAAGCUAACCCCUCCAGGUCAGUGGGGUGGCAGCAAUGGUUUCUAAAGGUACUCUCUAUGCAGCGAAGAACAA